rnacentral:rRNA from 1 species
GACGAACGCUGGCGGCGUGCUUAACACAUGCAAGUCGAACGGAGUGGGGACGGGUGAGUAACACGUGGGUAACCUCCCAUCAGAGGGGAUAACCCUUGGAAACAGGUGCUAAACCGAUACUGAUGGAUGGACCCGCGGUGCAUUAGCUAGUUGGUGAGGUAACGGCUCACCAAGGCCCCGAUGCAUAGCCGACCUGAGAGGGGGAUCGGCCACACUGGGACUGAGACACGGCCCAGACUCCUACGGGAGGCAGCAGUAGGGAAUCUUCGGCAAUGGACGAAAGUCUGACCGAGCAACGCCGCGUGGGUGAAGAAGGUUUUCUGAUCGUAAAACUCUGUUGUUAGAGAAGCGGUAUCUAACCAGAAAGCCACGGCUAACUACGUGCCAGCAGCCGCGGUAAUUC